rnacentral:sRNA from 1 species
GGCGGAGCCGGAUCUGGAGUGCGAGCAGAUCCGUCUGAAGUGUAUUCGUAAGGAGGGCUUCUUCACGGUGCCUCCGGAACACAGGAUCGGGCCCGGGACACCCAGACAGAUGAGAUUGUCGCGCUGAAGAAGGUGCGGAUGGACAAGGAGAAGGAUGGCAUCCCCAUCAGCAGCUUGCGGGAGAUCACGCUGCUGCUCCGCCUGCGUCAUCCGAACAUCGUGGAGCUGAAGGAGGUGGUUGUGGGGAACCACCUGGAGAGUAUCUUCCUGGUGAUGGGUUACUGUGAGCAGGACCUGGCCAGCCUCCUGGAGAAUAUGCCAACACCCUUCUCGGAGGCUCAGGUCAAGUGCAUUGUGCUGCAGGUGCUCCGGGGCCUCCAGUAUCUGCACAGGAACUUCAUUAUCCACAGGUGGGUGACAGCUAGGCAGAGUUGGAAGCACAAAUUCGGCUGAGGCCUGACUGUGCUGCCCCUGUGGAGUUACUAAAAGCUCAAGGGUUCCCAGCUGCAGCAGCCUGCCCGCUGCUCACACUCCAUUUGUGUUUUUUUCUAAAAUAGAGAAGGGGUCUCUCUGUGU